GAUGAACGCUGGCGGCAUGCCUAAUACAUGCAAGUCGAACGAGAGGAAGGAAAGCUUGCUUUUCUGAAUCUAGUGGCGAACGGGUGAGUAACACGUAGGUAACCUGCCCAUGUGCCCGGGAUAACUUCUGGAAACGGAUGCUAAAACCGGAUAGGUAGCAGACAAGCAUUUGACUGCUAUUAAAGUGGCUAAGGCCAUGAACAUGGAUGGACCUGCGGUGCAUUAGCUAGUUGGUGAGGUAACGGCCAACCAAGGCGACGAUGCAUAGCCGGCCUGAGAGGGCGGACGGCCACAUUGGGACUGAGACACGGCCCAAACUCCUACGGGAGGCAGCAGUAGGGAAUUUUCGUCAAUGGGGGGAACCCUGAACGAGCAAUGCCGCGUGAGUGAGGAAGGUCUUCGGAUCGUAAAGCUCUGUUGUAAGAGAAAAACGACAUUCAUAGGGAAUGAUGAGUGAGUGAUGGUAUCUUACCAGAAAGUCACAGCUAACUACGUGCCAGCAGCCGCCGUAA
rnacentral:rRNA from 1 species